rnacentral:rRNA from 1 species
UUAGCGGCGGACGGGUGAGUAACACGUGGAUAACCUACCUAUAAGACUGGGAUAACUUCGGGAAACCGGAGCUAAUACCGGAUAAUAUUUUGAACCGCAUGGUUCAAAAGUGAAAGACGGUCUUGCUGUCACUUAUAGAUGGAUCCGCGCUGCAUUAGCUAGUUGGUAAGGUAACGGCUUACCAAGGCAACGAUGCAUAGCCGACCUGAGAGGGUGAUCGGCCACACUGGAACUGAGACACGGUCCAGACUCCUACGGGAGGCAGCAGUAGGGAAUCUUCCGCAAUGGGCGAAAGCCUGACGGAGCAACGCCGCGUGAGUGAUGAAGGUCUUCGGAUCGUAAAACUCUGUUAUUAGGGAAGAACAUAUGUGUAAGUAACUGUGCACAUCUUGACGGUACCUAAUCAGAAAGCCACGGCUAACUACGUGCCAGCAGCCGCGGUAAUACGUAGGUGGCAAGCGUUAUCCGGAAUUAUUGGGCGUAAAGCGCGCGUAGGCGGUUUUUUAAGUCUGAUGUGAAAGCCCACGGCUCAACCGUGGAGGGUCAUUGGAAACUGGAAAACUUGAGUGCAGAAGAGGAAAGUGGAAUUCCAUGUGUAGCGGUGAAAUGCGCAGAGAUAUGGAGGAACACCAGUGGCGAAGGCGACUUUCUGGUCUGUAACUGACGCUGA